UCCGUUAUGCAGGCCAUAGACUUCUAUUAUGACGGGAUGCCUCUAAAGGCAUUCCGUUUUGGAAUUGCGUUAUGGUCCGUGGUAAUGGAAUCUAUAACGCAAUUCACAUUAUACCACAAGCAGAACCCAAAACAAAUUUCAAAAUAUGAAAUUUGCUCAUCCCUAGAUGUUAUCAUCAUGUAGCUG